rnacentral:lncRNA from 1 species
AAUGCAUUUCAGUAAACUCUAAACAUUUCAAUAGUCUAUAAAUCUUUCAAUAGGCUGUAAAUCUUUCAAUAGGCUAUAAAUCUUUCAAUAGUCUACAAAACUUUAAAUAGGGAGUUCCAAUAGUUAUAAUAACAACGAUAAUUGAUGUCUAUAUGUUGACAAUCCCCUGAUCAACCUGGGCGUCUCUCCCGAAGGAUAUUGAUGAUAGUAACUAUCGCCUGGUCACGAGGCCGCCUCACCCAUUACUAUGGGAUUUUGACGAUAGUGCUACCACAGUAAGGUGUCUCAUUAGACAAUAUAUGGUACACAAUGAAACGUGUGUUCUGUAGCGAUAAUAAUUAUGGUCCUCCCAAAUAAUAUUUUCUUUAAAUUGUAUGACCCAUAGGUCCUAUAAAUAUUUUCGAUAAUUGGCUCCCAAGGCCCAUAGUUCAAUUAUAUAUGUUGAUAAGGUUCCUUUGACUUCGAUAAAAUGAUAACCUUUUUCAAAAUAUCUCGAUAAAUUAUAAAAUCACAAGAUAAUGAGUUUCAAUAUUUGCGAUAAUCACCUGAUCCAAGUCAAGUAGAAAAAUAUGAUUUAAAGUGUCAUCAUUCAAUAAAAGACAAUAAAUGACCAACAAUACAAUUUAUGCAUGUACGAUACUAUAAGAUAGCAUAGAGUAUAUCAUAAUGUUAAAAACAUGGACGGUAAGGUUCGAUCGCUCCAACAAACCAAACUAACAUUUAAAGAAACUUCAGCAAGUAUUAGAAUUCAUGGAAUUCAUCAAAUAAUCCUUAGGAGAAGGCACAUCUUAACUUACCUCAUCUUAGCUUUCCAAAUUACUCUAAACUUACCCAACAAACUCAACUCGUUCAACGAUAUCAAUCUAUAUCAAUCUAUAACAUUUUCGGGCUCAUAAUCGGCAUCAAGCCAUCUAAUAUCCUUAUUUUCGAUUACUCCGACAAUUUAAUUAACUCCAAAAUAUCAUUUUAAAGCGAGUAUCAACUUUAAGAGAUUAUUAGAAUCAUUAUUUAACUCAAUCCUUAUCGCUAGUUACUAUUCAUAUUCCCCUUCCUUAGCUCUUUAAUGUCAAGAACACCCAUUUUGGGGUUAUUUUAAUAUCAAGUUUCCAUCACCUUUUUCAUACUCAAAUAUACUCAAUAACAUCAUUUGAACUUCAUAAUUGAAGAGGGAGCGGUAGAAUUACCUUGUAGUAGAAAAAUCUAGCUUUUCCCCUUUUUCAUGUUCUUGAAUAAUUUCUUUACAAAUCUAGAAUUUCAAUGAGUUGGGUGUUAAUACUUAUAUUAAAUGAAUGAAAUCUACUCAAAAUAACCAUUUAGUACUCACCUAGAACUUCAAUAAAUGUGCCGCUAUUGCAUACCAGAUGAGCUGAUACGCUGCUCUUUCUUCUCUAAACAAGAAUGGCCCAAAGAAGAAUCUUGACUCCACUUUACAAAAUUGAAUGGUCUGCGUCCGUCGUCCAGUGGGUAUAGUUUUGAGCUUAAGAGCUCACUUGCAGUGCUCUAUUCCACCAUCCUUUUGGAUCUGAUUUCCCUUUUCAGAUUAUGUGUUACAUGUUAUUAUCUUGAUAGCUAAGUGAGGCUUAGUGUUCAC